rnacentral:rRNA from 1 species
UAAGUAGGCGGUGGAAAAUGAACCAAAUGGGAUUCCUUAAGUAAUUGCGAAUGAACAAGGAAAUGCUCAGCUUGAAAAAUGGGGCCUUCGGCUUUGAAUUGUAAUUUUGAAAUGUAUUGCCAAUGGAGGCGCAGGUGCAAGCCUAUUGAAAGAAAGCGUCAAUGAGGGUGAGAUUCCUUUUUGUCAUUUGCAGUCCUCCGUGCACGGUAUAUAUUUGACGAGUCACACUCCUCGGCAUUGGAAUGCAAAGUGGGUGGUAAAUUCCAUGUAAAGGUAAAUAUAUUAUUGAGACUGAUAGCAAACAAGUACCAUGAGGGAAAUAUGAAAAGGACUUUGAAAAGAGAAUUAAAAGAGUCUGCAUUUGCUGAACAGAAAGCAAACAGAAUUGAUCUUGCUUGGUGAGAUUGUUGCGUCUACUCUUGCAUGUCUAUGCUGGAUGUGGGUGCGAUGGUUCUUGCCUUGAAUGUCAGCUUCUAUUUCUGCAAAUCAUUACCCUUGCACAUGAAUGGUAAUUUGCCUGCGGGUAUUGGAAUGCAUGUGUUUGCAAUGAUUUGUGAUUUGAUACAUGUGUUUGGUGGUACUUGUGUGUGUUCCUUUGUCAAUGGGGAAGGCUUGCUUCCUUGAGCACCACAAGCCCUUGCACAAUGUUGCUGGCAAAAUGUUUCUGCUUGACCCGUCUUGAAACACGGACCAAGGAGUCUAACAGAUGUGCAAGUUCGUGGGUGGACAAACCUUUUUGCGCAAUGAAAGUAUUGGCUGGGAUACUUGCACCAGCAGCCGACCGAUUAGCAGACAGAGGUUUGAGUUUGAGCAUAUCUAUUAGGACCCGAAAGAUGGUGAACUAUGCCUGAACAGAAUGAAUUCAGAGGAAACUCUGAUGGAGGUUCGUAUCGAUA